CUUCCCUACGGGGCGCAGCAGUGAGGAAUAUUGGUCAAUGGGCGGAAGCCUGAACCAGCCAAGUCGCGUGAGGGAAUAAGGCCCUACGGGUCGUAAACCUCUUUUGCCGGGGAGCAAGGGCGGGGACGUGUCCCGGCCCGGAGAGUACCCGGAGAAAAAGCAUCGGCUAACUCCGUGCCAGCAGCCGCGGUAAUACGGAGGAUGCGAGCGUUAUCCGGAUUUAUUGGGUUUAAAGGGUGCGCAGGCGGCGUGUCAAGCAAGCGGUAAAAUAGCGGGGCUCAACCCCGUCGAGCCGUUUGAACUGG
rnacentral:rRNA from 1 species